rnacentral:rRNA from 1 species
GUAGCUGGUCUGAGAGGAUGRCCAGCCACACUGGAACUGAGACACGGUCCAGACUCCUACGGGAGGCAGCAGUGGGGAAUAUUGGACAAUGGGGGCAACCCUGAUCCAGCAAUGCCGCGUGUGUGAAGAAGGCCUGAGGGUUGUAAAGCACUUUCAGUGGGGAGGAGGRUUGAUAGGUUAAGAGCUGAUUAAUUGGACGUUACCCACAGAAGAAGCACCGGCUAACUCCGUGCCAGCAGCCGCGGUAAUACGGAGGGUGCAAGCGUUAAUCGGAAUUACUGGGCGUAAAGGGUGCGUAGGUGGUUGAAUAAGUUAUCUGUGAAAUCCCUGGGCUUAACCUGGGCAGGUCAGAUAAGACUGUUUGACUCGAGUAUGG